GACCGAGCGCCGGGGAUGCUGGCGGCGCUGCGCAGGGGGCCGGGCCUGGUGGCGGCCGCGGGGAGACGUUGCUGCGGGGCGCGCCUGCCGGCCCGGUGGGACAAGGCCCAGGGCAGGCGCGGGGCCGCCUGGGGAGCGGGGUCCCUGCGGGCGGGGAGCGGGCUCAGCCCCGGCGGCGUCCUGGCCGCCCUGGCAGCUUUCUCCUUGUUCUCUAAAAGUGCUGAGGAAGAGAAGGAGACAAAGGAAGGGGAGAGUGCAGGGACUGAAGACACCAUUAUAUUCCUUUUGAAGAAAGCCAAGCUCAGCAUCAUGAAGCAGGAGCUUGAGGAAGCGGAGCGGAUUCUGCACCAAGCCAUCCAACUCUCCCAUCAGUCGGACAACAAGAAAGCCAUCAUCUAUACCUAUGACCUGAUGGCAAACCUUGCGUUCCUGAGGGGUCAUCUGGACAGCGCAGAGAAGCUCUUCAAAGCAGCAAUGAGCUUCUUGCUGGCUGGGGACAUGAAGCAGGAUGACAAUGCCAUCAUUGAAAUAUCUCUCAAGCUGGCCAGUAUCUAUGCUGCUCAGAACCAACACAAGCUGGCUCUCGCUGGCUAUGAGUUCUGCAUUCUGACCCUGGAUGAGAAGAUAGCCAAAUACAGGGACUUGCCUGAGGAUGUCCUCCCAGCGGAGGAAAGAGCCAACACACACCUCCUACUUGGUCUGUGCCUGGACUCAUAUGGUCGCUACCUCCUGGCCAACAAACAGCUGUCUGGGGCCCAAAGAAUGUAUGAGAGGGCACUUCAGAUCUCCAAGGAGGUCCAGGGAGACACCCAUCCCCAGACUGUGGUACUGAUGAAUGACUUGGCAACUGUGCUGGAUGCCCAGGGCCUCUAUGAUGAGGCAUAUACACAUGUGAAGAGGGCAUCUGAAUUGGCAAAGCAGACUGAACACCCUGAGGAGCACAUGGUGCUGAAUAACCUUGCAGGAAUUCUGAUGCACAGAGAAGACUUUCUGCAAGCAAAAGAGGUGUACAGAAAAGCCCUGAAACAGGCAGAGCUGAAAGGAGACACUGCAUCUAUAAAGCACAUACAGGAGGAACUAGCAGAGCUGGCUAAGAGGAGAAAGCAGUCAAACUGAACAUGUGAUGCACAAAUGAGGGAGGCUUGAAGUAGCUUAGACUGAAUGAACUGCUGAAGGCAAGGUGGUGGAUUAUAUAAAACACAGGAAGGCUGGGACCUGUUGCCAUUUUCAGUGGGAACUAAAAUAGCUUAACUCCAGGUUCAGUACUGAGUGCUGUCUGUACUGGAGAGAAGAUCUGUCUCUUCUAGACCACAGGGGCUUCAGCUGUUUCUGUCAAGUGUUUUUGUCAUUCUCAUCAACACAGCUUGAUGCUGCAAAACAAGAGGGACACAGAGCAAAAGGAAAUGGAGAACUGAUCCCCUUUAUUGAUUGGUCUGAAUCCAGAAGUCAUUGUCUACUGAAGACUUUUUGUGGAAAAAAACUGAAUUUUAGCAUGACGCAUGGGUUUUUUCAAGUCUUAAAUGUUUUCAUAUCAGAAUCACUGAACAUAUCAAGAGGAAAACAUCGUGAAAGCACUGAUCAGAAAUCAACAGUUACGAAUUUUGUAGUAAACUACUUUUGUAAACAAUGAUUUACAGACACCUUCCUGUUUGAAACAGGCCAGGUGUAAUUCCAUAUUCAAAGGCUACUGGAUUUUUUUUUAAUAAUGCUUAGGCUCUGGGUAUUAUCAAAAAUUAAAACUUAAGGAACCCUAAAAAAAUUGCUUCACAAUAAGAAAAACAAAAGUAACGUGCAAAUGCCACUCUUAUCCUAUAUCUCUGAGGGUUAUUCCGCAAAAGAGGGGCUGCUUGACUACCCUUAGUUAGGAUACCUUGCAGCAUCAGUAAAGAGAACACACAGAUUUCCCUCCUUUAUGUAAAUUAGGCUAAAGAACAGAUGAUGUUCAUACAGUACAAUUAACCACAGGCUUUGCAGGUACAAGCCUCUAUUUCAAACAUACUGAGGUUUUGUUACACUGAGGAAAGGAGAAAAGACGAACUUUGGAAUGGCACUCCAUUUUUCACUUUUCCAAAUUUAAAUUCACAAUGUGGGGAGACCAACUUAUAGCAGUGUGUCCUUGAAGAUGAGUAAAGAAAAUAAAGGACAGUUAAAAUCAGGGGGAUAGGGACUCCAAACAAGAGUUGUUCACUUUACACCUGACAUGCUUCAGGGUUUUCACAUUUUUCAGGAGGACUAAAGAUUUUAACACUUCCAACUGAUUUUAACGCUGCAGGAUACAGCAUUUAAAUACAGCAGCAAAGCAAAUCUGCAAUACUUAUAGCUCAUCAAGUUUCCAAACAGACUGCAAACCAGCAGAGAGGAGUCUAAAAUCUCCUGUUGCUUUCUCUUUCCUACAGUUGGGACAACCUGGGGCUCUCUUCAAUAAAGUACAACACACUUUUAAAAGAUUUACAGCACAAGGGGUUCUGUACCUCUUCCCAUUUGUUAAAUACAGGCAAAGGGCAUCACAGACCUAUGAAACACAGCACCUGCAUGGACUCCCAAGUUACAAAUUUGUAUACCUUCCAGACAUAAGGAAUUGCAAAUAGAGGUCUAAAAUUAAACUUUCUUCAGUAGGCUGAAAGAUUGUGAUAAGUUUGACAAUCUCUUCCUGAGACAAAUGUUGAAUAUGGUCUUGGUUCAAAUUGCUGAAGGGACACAUGCUGCUUAUAUGUUUCAUUUAAUAUUUGACUUUGCCACCCACCCAUUCAGUAGUUUUCUCUCCAUAUCAAUACUUGUCUCCUUGUACCCAGAGCACUUAAACUCAUGGUCCUGGGGCCAGUGCAACCAUAUGAAAACGAAACAUGGCAGAUUCCAACUGACACACUGGCCACACUAAUCAGAUGCAUGUACUACAAGUAUAUUACUACAGUAGAGGCCUCCAAUUCCAGCAGGCACUGACAGAUGAAUGGAUAAAAAGGACCCUCUUCUAGUACCAUAAGCAAAAUUUUUUUUUUUAGAGAGUCUCUAUCAAGUAACGUUUAGGGGUUGGUUCAAUAUAAAAAAAACAGGUUUCUAUGCAAAUCACUUCUUACUGGACUAGGUUUUAAAAUGCAUGUUAAAAGAUUUAACAAUUAGAAUGAAGUGAGCAGUAAUCACAGUAUCUUUUUCAAACUGGCUGUCAGAGCCCAGAAAGUUGACUCUCAUAUUUCUUGAUUACAAAGCUCAGAAGUAGCUUUAUUUAUUUAUUUUUAAACUAGAGCAGUGGAUAUUUUUUUCUUGAUGGACCCAACAACCCACCCAGAGCCUUUGUUAAGUUAAGCAAUCUGCUGUGAUUUAUAUGGAUAUUUAUGGUAGUAAAAUUUGUUUAAAAUAGUAGCCUUUUUCAGCUGCAUACAAUGCAGAAACAGAAAACAUUAAAAUAGUCUUUUGGGGCACAGUUAAAUUACCAGUGUGCGUAACAGUGAGGUAUGACUCCAGAAGCUGCUUGGUUGGGUUUUUUGUUAUUGUUUUUUCUUUUUAAACUGAACCAUAAACAUACCCAUGCAAUAAUAUUUCUGCAGUGUUGCUAAAUAAAACUGACCACACUGAAAAUUUACAAUGUGGCAGAAAUUUAAAAAUUAAAGAAAUAUAUCAUCUUACCCCAGCAGACCUGACUAUGUUAAUGUACAGAAUUUAAGGGGUCAGUCUUAAAAAUCAACAUUUUCACAAGAGCUUGAACACCACUGUGUCUAGGGAAAAAAUUAAAUUGAAGCACACCACCAGUAAGAGGUGGCACUGCAUUAACAGGCAAUGAUGCUAUGUCGGUUGGGAGAGUAAGGUAUGAAGAGUACUCUACACUUGAGAAAAUGCUUUAAAAAAAUUACAAAAUGACCCCUAAGGCUUAUGCAAUGAUUGAAUGUAAGUACACCAGAGACUAUAGCAAGGGAAAAAAAACACUGCAAAAAGUACUCUCUAUUUACAGAAGAAUGAUUUAAAGACAUUAUGGUUUUCUUUACAAAUAGAUGCAGAACAGGAAUAGUCCACUUUUUAAAAAGUCUUUACAUAUUUAUUUUUAGUACAUCAACCCUCCUCAAUCACGAUCCUCCUACACGUGGUCUGUGCAGACGGAAUCUUUUCGAUUUACUCUCCAAAUAGCUCCCCAUCAUCUCUUCGUGCGUGGCCCUUGCUCUCUUGGGAAGUCCCUUUUGGCAUAAGUCAAAAAUAAGAGUUUUUUCGACCCACAAAUUAAAAAAAAAA